AGUGAACGCUGGCGGUAGGCCUAACACAUGCAAGUCGAACGGCAGCACAGUAAGAGCUUGCUCUUACGGGUGGCGAGUGGCGGACGGGUGAGGAAUACAUCGGAAUCUACUUUUUCGUGGGGGAUAACGUAGGGAAACUUACGCUAAUACCGCAUACGACCUACGGGUGAAGGCAGGGGAUCUUCGGACCUUGCGCGAUUGAAUGAGCCGAUGUCGGAUUAGCUAGUUGGCGGGGUAAAGGCCCACCAAGGCGACGAUCCGUAGCUGGUUUGAGAGGAUGAUCAGCCACACUGGAACUGAGACACGGUCCAGACUCCUACGGGAGGCAGCAGUGGGGAAUAUUGGACAAUGGGCGCAAGCCUGAUCCAGCCAUACCGCGUGGGUGAAGAAGGCCUUCGGGUUGUAAAGCCCUUUUGUUGGGAAAGAAAAGCAGCAGGUUAAUACCCCGCUGUUCUGACGGUACCCAAAGAAUAAGCACCGGCUAACUUCGUG
rnacentral:rRNA from 1 species